GGGCACGUGGUGUAGUUGGUUAUCACGCUCGCUUAGCAUCGUCAGGCUUCAGCCACGAUGAGAAUGCGAGAGGGGUCCGGUUCGAUCCCGGACGUGUCCA